rnacentral:rRNA from 1 species
UACGUAGGGACCAAGCGUUGUUCGGAUUUACUGGGCGUAAAGGGCGCGUAGGCGGCGCGGUAAGUCACUUGUGAAAUCUCUGAGCUUAACUCAGAACGGCCAAGUGAUACUGCAGUGCUAGAGUGUGGAAGGGGCAAUCGGAAUUCUUGGUGUAGCGGUGAAAUGCGUAGAUAUCAAGAGGAACACCUGAGGUGAAGACGGGUUGCUGGCCAACACUGACGCUGAGGCGCGAAAGCCAGGGAGCAAACGGG